rnacentral:rRNA from 1 species
UACGGAGGGUGCGAGCGUUGUCCGGAAUCACUGGGCGUAAAGGGCGCGUAGGUGGCGCCGCAAGUCAACGGUGAAAGCUCGACGCUUAACGUCGAGUCGGCCGUCGAGACUGCGGGGCUCGAGCACUGUAGAGGCUCAUGGAAUUCCGGGUGUAGCGGUGGAAUGCGUAGAGAUCCGGAAGAACACCGGUGGCGAAGGCGGAUCUCUGGGCCUGUCCUGACGCUCAGGCGCGAAAGCUAGGGGAGCAAACAGG